AGUUUGAUCCUGGCUCAGAUUGAACGCUGGCGGCGUGCUUAACACAUGCAAGUCGUGCGAGAAAGGGGACUUCGGUCCCUGAGUAGAGCGGCGCACGGGUGAGUAACGCGUGGAUAAUCUACCCAGAUGUUCGGGAUAACGGUGGGAAACUGCCGCUAAUACCGGAUACGAUCCAAUUUCGGUUGGAUGAAAGGCGGCCUCUGCUUGCAAGCUGUCGCAUCUGGAUGAGUCCGCGUCCCAUUAGCUUGUUGGUGGGGUAAUGGCCUACCAAGGCUACGAUGGGUAACUGGUCUGAGAGGAUGAUCAAUCACACUGGAACUGAAACACGGUCCAGACUCCUACGGGAGGCAGCAGUGGGGAAUAUUGCGCAAUGGGGGAAACCCUGACGCAGCGACGCCGUGUGAGGGAAGAAGGCUUUCGGGU
rnacentral:rRNA from 1 species